rnacentral:rRNA from 1 species
UACGAAGGGAGCUAGCGUUGUUCGGAAUCACUGGGCGUAAAGCGCACGUAGGCGGAUGUGUCAGUCAGGGGUGAAAUCCCGGAGCUCAACUUCGGAACUGCCUUUGAUACAGCACAUCUGGAGUCCGGAAGAGGUGGGUGGAAUUCCUAGUGUAGAGGUGAAAUUCGUAGAUAUUAGGAAGAACACCGGUGGCGAAGGCGGCCCACUGGGCCGGUACUGACGCUGAGGUGCGAAAGCGUGGGGAGCAAACAGG